GAGGCGUGGUCUUGGACUGGGGAGAGGCCGCGCUUCCUGACCCGGUCCCUCUGCACCAGCGUGGAGGGGGGAGGGGCGCGCACCCUUUCCGCCCAGGCUUUUGCGGGCUCCUCGGGCCGAACCCGAAGGGGCUGUUCCUGAACCUUGACUUGUUAUCAUAGGGACCCAAGCUCUAUUUUUGUGUGGCCAAUUCGUGCACUGCAGCAAAAUGGCCCUUCAGUCGCGUCUUGGGGUUUCUCCUCGGUUCAAAUGCUCUCGCGCUGAGAAAAAGCCGGAGGAAAAAAAAGCGACACCCUCCCUCCCCCAUUAAUUAUUUGUGGGGCCGGAGUAACGCGGGCUGGUGCAACCGGUGCAUAUAAGGACUUGUGUGCAAGGAAGGGGAUCCGCCUCCAGGCGCGGAAAGAGUAGGGAAGAAGCGCACACGCACAGUGCACCCAGCUGGGCGCUUCGGCAGUUUGCAGCUGCGGCGGGGUCGGGUCCACCCGCGGUCCCCGGAAUGCCGGACGGCUGAUCCCGGGUGCUGGUCACUCGCCGAUUCGGGGCUGGGAAGGUUUGCCAGAAGCGGGAAAGAUGGGAGAUCUGAGCGCUCUCUUGGCAUCGCCACACCCAGGACUUGCUCGUGCCGCAAUUCCCCACGGAAACAACCGAGUUGAAACGAGAAGCUUGCUCUCUGGGUGCAGUAGCUAGAAGGCUUCAGGUAACUCCAAAGCCAACACUGGGUGAGGCAACACACGCCGCCUCAGGACUCAGCAUUUCUUUCAGGCUGCGUUUUCGUGGCAGACCUACCCAGAUUGAUGGAGAAAGUUUGGCUGGCGGAUAAGAAGUAACGCGGAAGAUGUGUACGUGAGAGCGAUUUCACUUCACUCACUUUCUCAUUUAAAGAUUAUUGUGGCUGUCACUCAGGUUUUCUGCUCAUUGGUAGACAAAGGGUGAGGAGGUGACUGAAAUUGGAACAGUGGAAGGACCCUUCACCAAAACCUGGAACUUCAGAAGAAUGGCAGGGCUGAAAAUGAUUAGUGUUAAUUCAUUCCAGUUGUGUUACCCUACCCAUAAGCCUCAGAAGUCAUGCGACUUCAUUUCCACCACUGUCAUGAAUCUACCCGGACUCAAGGGGAGGAUGCAGAGAUGCCACCUUUCAAUAAGAGGAUUAUCUAAGUUGCACUGAAGAAGAGCAUGUGGGAUGGAAGAUACUAUUGCAGUAUUUUUGGAAACUAAAGCCUACCAUAUUCUUCAAGCCUUACCAUCAAUUCUGUGUCCUCAGCAUUCUCCCCUUUGCUCACGUUAGCGAGAGUUAGUUUCUACUUUUGCUUGUAACCAAAGAAUAAUGUAGCUGGCAUAAGCACAAACAUAUCAGAAUAAGUAUAAAUAUUUAAACUUCCUUAUUAAAAGACAGAAGCUCUCAGAAUUUGUAGAAACAAAGCAAAGCAACCCCAAUAAAUUAAGAAUGUGGAUGCUUUUCAAAUCUCUCACAGAAAAUUAACAACAUUGGACCAGGCCAAAAAGUACGCUUUUUAUAAUUUCCCAAAAGCAACAAUCAUACAUACCAUAUUAUUAGUAGAUUUCAACAUUCAUGUAACAGAUCCAUCUAAAUCUGUAAUUCUCAAUUAUUGAAACUUUUUCACUAGAAUGACUUUAGUUUCUCAUUAUACUUAAAGUUACUCCCAGAGGCCCACCCAAGAAUUUAUCAUCAUCUUGAACAGCUUUUCUUUAGAAAAUAAAGCUCCAAUUUUCCUUUGUCCAAUUAGUCUACCCUUCCAGCUCCCCGGCAGCCUUCACUGACAUUACUGCUGUUUUUCACUGACAUUACCGCUGCCUUACAAAGACUCUAUUUCUGUACAUUGGUAGCAUUCUUCAUUAUUUUCCAAUUGGUCUUACCUCUUACCCUUCCUCUUUCCAAUUUUGUGCUGGACCUCAGACUGCCUGAAGGAGCCUGAACUUCCACGUGCUGUCUUCCAUAUAAUGUGAUCUGAGGUGAAGAGCAUGGUCCCUGGAGUUGAACUGCCUGAAGUAAAUCCCAAAAUAGAAAAAUAAAAAUAAAACAGUGGUUUUAUUGUUUUUAUUUCUUGUUUCUCAUUGAUAGGUAGAUAGAGAGUUUUCUUUAAAAGCCUAGUGCUUUUGGGAUAAUAAUGGCAAGUGAUUACAUCUCUUUUGUAUUAAAUAGGUUUGGAGAAAUUUUCUUAAUUAUCUGGUACUAUUUAAACUCAAAGGCAAACACAACACUCUAUCUAAAAUACCAGUAUUACACUUUCCCUAAAUGCAGAAAACUAUUUUUACUAAAAAUUUGGCAAGCACUUUCAAAACAGCAUUUUUCUGUUUUCAUUCCUUGAGAAUUUCCUAACAAGUAUGC
rnacentral:lncRNA from 10 species